GACGAACGCUGGCGGCGUGCUUAACACAUGCAAGUCGAGCGGAAAGGCCCUUUCGGGGGUACUCGAGCGGCGAACGGGUGAGUAACACGUGAGUAAUCUGCCCCUGGCUUUGGGGUAGCCACCGGAAACGGUGAUUAAUACCGGAUACGACCACUUCUCGCAUGGGAUGGUGGUGGAAAGUUUUUCGGCCAGGGGUGUGCUCGCGGCCUAUCAGCUUGAUGGUGAGGUAAUGGCUCACCAUGGCUUCGACGGGUAGCCGGCCUGAGAGGGUGACCGGUCACACCGGGACUGAGACACGGCCCAGACUCCUACGGGAGGCAGCAGUGGGGAAUAUUGGACAAUGGGCGGAAGCCUGAUCCAGCAACGCCGCGUGAGGGAUGACGGCCUUCGGGUUGUAAACCUCUUUCAGCAGGGACGAAGCGCAAGUGACGGUACCUGCAGAAGAAGCACCGGCCGACUACGUGCCAGCAGCCGCGGUAA
rnacentral:rRNA from 1 species